rnacentral:rRNA from 1 species
UACUGACACUGAGAAGCGAAAGCAUGGGGAGCAAACAGGAUUAGAUACCCUGGUAGUCCAUGCCGUAAACGUUGGGCACUAGGUGUGGGGAACAUUCCACGUUUUCCGCGCCGUAGCUAACGCAUUAAGUGCCCCGCCUGGGGAGUACGGCCGCAAGGCUAAAACUCAAAGGAAUUGACGGGGGCCCGCACAAGCGGCGGAGCAUGCGGAUUAAUUCGAUGCAACGCGAAGAACCUUACCAAGGCUUGACAUGCACCGGACGACCUCAGAGAUGGGGUUUUCUUUGGACUGGUGCACAGGUGGUGCAUGGUUGUCGUCAGCUCGUGUCGUGAGAUGUUGGGUUAAGUCCCGCAACGAGCGCAACCCUCGUUCCAUGUUGCCAGCGCGUAAUGGCGGGGACUCAUGGGAGACUGCCGGGGUCAACUCGGAGGAAGGUGGGGACGACGUCAAAUCAUCAUGCCCCUUAUGUCUUGGGCUUCACGCAUGCUACAAUGGCCGGUACAAUGGGUUGCGAAACUGUGAGGUGGAGCGAAUCCCAAAAAGCCGGUCUCAGUUCGGAUUGGGGUCUGCAACUCGACCCCAUGAAGUCGGAGUCGCUAGUAAUCGCAGAUCAGCAACGCUGCGGUGAAUACGUUCCCGGGCCUUGUACACACCGCCCGUCAAGUCACGAAAGUCGGUAACACCCGAAGCCAGUGGCCC